AACGAACGCUGGCGGCAGGCCUAACACAUGCAAGUCGAGCGGCUCGCUAGGGGAUAGCGGGGCGGGUGAGUGACACGCGGGGACGUAUGCCUUUCUCUACGGUAGCGCUGGGGAAAAGGGGGGAAUAUCGAGUAUGCGCUCAUGGGGGGAAAGAUUUAUCGGGAAAGGAUGGGCCCGCGUUGGAUUAGGUAGUUGGUGGGGUAAUGGCCUACCAAGCCGACGAUCCAUAGCUGGUCUGAGAGGAUGAUCAGCCACACUGGGACUGAGACACGGCCCAGACUCCUACGGGAGGCAGCAGUGGGGAAUAUUAGACAAUGGGCGCAAGCCUGAUCUAGCCAUGCCGCGUGAGUGAUGAAGGCCUUAGGGUUGUAAAGCUCUUUCAGCUGGGAAGAUAAUGACGGUACCAGCAGAAGAAGCCCCGGCUAACUUCGUG
rnacentral:rRNA from 1 species